rnacentral:ncRNA from 2 species
ACGAAUAUUGUCAAAAUGCGUCGUAUAAUCUCGGGGAUAUGGCCUGAGAGUCUCUACCAAGCUACCGUAAAUAGCUUGACUACGGGGUAUAAUGAAGGAGAA